GACGAACGCUGGCGGCGUGCUUAACACAUGCAAGUCGAACGGAAAGUCCCUUCUUUUUUUUUGUUCUCGAUUGGCGAACUGGUGUGUAACACGUGUGUAACCUGCCCUUUACUUUGGUAUAUCUUCUGGUAACUUUUUCUAUUACCGUAUAUGAUCUCCUGCUUCAUUGUGUUGUUUGGUAAGUUUCGGCGGUUGGGGAUGUACUCGCUGCUUAUCAGCUUGUUUGUGGGGUAGUGGCUUACCAAGGCUUUGACGGGUAUCCGGCCUGAGAGGGUGACAGGCGACAAUGGGACUGAGAGACGGACCAGAAGACAACGGGAGGCAGCAGUGGGGAAUAGUGCAGAAUGGGAGGAAGCCUGAUGCAGAAACGCCGGGUGCGGGAUGAAGGCAUACGGGUUGUAAACCGAUUGAGCAUGAGACGAAGAGUGAGUGACGGUAAUGGGUAAAGAAGCAACGGCUAACUACGUG
rnacentral:rRNA from 1 species